AAGAAGGUACUACAACCACAACAGUAGCAGCUGCUACUCCUACUGGAGGAGAAGGAGGAGAUAAAACUAGUGGAAAGACGUCAAAUAAUGUCUCUACACCAAAACCAGAGAGGAAAAGGGAGAGGUUACCUGAUAAGGAUCCUCCCAGUAAUAGUGAAGCUGUUAAGAAAAGGCGGGAAUCAGCACCUGGUGACUCUUCUAAAGAAACACCAGCUGCAGCUCAACCAGAGCCUAAAAAAAGAAUAAUCAAAGUUGUGAAAAGUGACAAGGCAGAUGUUAGCAAGAAAAGAGCAAAAAGUCCUCCUGCUGCUCUUGUUACUGAAGAAAAGAUUAAGAAACUUUCUACUACUAAACCAACUGCUAAGAAGCCAACCUGAUCAUCUCACCCAAUUCCUAACACACUUACCUCCUCCUUCACUCAUCCCUUCAUUUUGUACAUUAUUACUAAAUUAAAUGACACUUAUUAUUAUUACAGUAUUUUUGAGACUAAUAAUUAACAAUGAAUAUUAAUUAGCCACACCCACUACACGUGUACUUGUGUGAAAAUGAGCAGAAAGAAGCAGUGUCAAUGUUUUAGCUCAGAACUGGAGGAGAAAUGGAAGAGAGAGACAACAAAAAUAACUGAAGAUAAAUUUAAAAAUUUUAUAAAUUCAAUUUUAGAUUCCAAAGACUUAUCAACACAAUUAUCCAGUGUUAAAAAGGUACAGGUUGAUAUUUUAGCUAUAAGAUCCGAGAAUCAUGUUAACACUGAUCCUGAUCACAUUGAUUCUGAUCACACUGAUCUGAUCAUAGUCCUUAACAUCUUAAUUCAAAUGCAUUCAGUUUG